AUUGAACGCUGGCGGCAGGCCUAACACAUGCAAGUCGAGCGGAGCGGCGGACGGGUGAGAAAUGCCUGGGAAUCUGCCUGGUAGUGGGGGAUAAAGUCCGGAAACGGGCGCUAAUACCGCAUACUAUGAGAUGAGCCUAGGGCGGAUUAGGUAGUUGGGGGGGUAAAGGCCUACCAAGGCGACGAUCCGUAACUGGUCUGAGAGGAUGAUCAGUCACACUGGAACUGAGACACGGUCCAGACUCCUACGUGAGGCAGCAGUGGGGAUUAUUGGACAAUGGGCGAAAGCCUGAUCCAGCCAUGCCGCGUGUGUGCAGAAGGUCUUCGGAUUGUAAAGCACCUUACGUUGGGUGGCGUUACCAACAGAAUAAGCCCCGGCUAACUUCGUGCCAGCAGCCGCGGAAUUC
rnacentral:rRNA from 1 species